GCCUGCCAGUGACUCUGUUCAACGGCCGCGGUAUCCUAACCGUGCGAAGGUAGCGUAAUCACUUGUUCUUUAAAUGUGGACUAGUAUGAAUGGCACUACGAGGGUUAUACUGUCUCCUUUUUCUAAUCAGUGAAACUAAUUUUCCCGUGAAGAAGCGGGAAUAAAAAUAUAAGACGAGAAGACCCUAUGGAGCUUUAAACAACCCAGCAAUUACUUCUAAAAUUUUAAAUUUCAGAAUAUUCAUUUUCUAAGUAAUAUGUCUGCAAGUUUUUGGUUGGGGUGACCAUGGAGAAUAACACAACCUCCAUAUUGAAUGAAUUCCCUUCUAAGCUAAAAAUUACUUAUUGAAGCAUCAAUACACUGACAUCUAUUGACCCAAUAUAUUUGAUCAACGAACCAAGUUACCCUAGGGAUAACAGCGCAAUCCACUUCAAGAGCCCCUAUCGACAAGUGGGUUUACGACCUCGAUGUUGGAUCAGGGUAUCCCAGUGGCGCAGCCGCUACUAAAGGUUCGU
rnacentral:rRNA from 1 species